rnacentral:rRNA from 1 species
AGCGGCGGACGGGUGAGUAAUGCUUAGGAAUCUGCCUAUUAGUGGGGGACAACAUUUCGAAAGGAAUGCUAAUACCGCAUACGUCCUACGGGAGAAAGCAGGGGAUCUUCGGACCUUGCGCUAAUAGAUGAGCCUAAGUCGGAUUAGCUAGUUGGCCGGGGUAAAGGCCUACCAAGGCGACGAUCUGUAGCGGGUCUGAGAGGAUGAUCCGCCACACUGGGACUGAGACACGGCCCAGACUCCUACGGGCAGGCAGCAGUGGGGAAUAUUGGACAAUGGGCGGAAGCCUGAUCCAGCCAUGCCGCGUGUGUGAAGAAGGCCUUAUGGCUGUAAAGCACUUUAAGCGAGGAGGAGGCUACUUUAGUUAAUACCUAGAGAUAGUGGACGUUACUCGCAGAAUAAGCACCGGCUAACUC